AUACGGAGGGUGCAAGCGUUACUCGGAAUCACUGGGCGUAAAGCGUACGUAGGCGGUUGGUUAAGUUAGAUGUGAAAGCCCCGGGCUUAACCUGGGAACUGCAUUUAAAACUGGCGAACUAGAGUUGAGUAGAGGGGAGUGGAAUUUCAGGUGUAGCGGUGAAAUGCGUAGAGAUCUGAAGGAACACCAGUGGCGAAGGCGACUCCCUGGACUCGAACUGACGCUGAGGUACGAAAGCGUGGGUAGCAAACGGGAUUAGAAACCCUAGUAGUCC
rnacentral:rRNA from 1 species